GUGGUGAAAAAGGGACACAGAUUGUCUCCAGAGACCAGGCCUGCUAUAGCAAAUUUCUAGUUGGAAAACAAGAAAGAUCUUGGAGGAAAGGAAUAUACAGGCGACACUAAAGCCACUGCUCAGGGUGUUGUCCCAGCCAGAGAUGAGGCACUGAGUACCAGCCGCUGCACAGGAUCUUGGCAGAGAGAUGGUGGCCACUUGAGAGUUGAUGGUGGCGACUGAGCUCAGCUUAAUCAGCAUGAUGUCAUUAUCAAUGGUGGCUGAGUUAUACUUGGGGUGGCAAAUAAUCUUGGCUGCAUUUAUGAAUUGUUCAUUGCCUUCAUAGACCUUAAUGUUGUAUUCUCCAAGAUGCACAUGGAUUUGGCUGGAUUAAAAGAUAUAAGA
ensembl:lncRNA novel transcript